rnacentral:rRNA from 1 species
GGAUUGCCCUAGUAACGGCGAGUGAAGCGGCAACAGCUCAAAUUUGAAAUCUGGCUUUCGGGCCCGAGUUGUAAUUUGUAGAGGAUACUUUUGAUGCGGUGCCUUCCGAGUUCCCUGGAACGGGACGCCAUAGAGGGUGAGAGCCCCGUCUGGUUGGAUGCCAAAUCUCUGUAAAGUUCCUUCGACGAGUCGAGUAGUUUGGGAAUGCUGCUCUAAAUGGGAGGUAUAUGUCUUCUAAAGCUAAAUAUUGGCCAGAGACCGAUAGCGCACAAGUAGAGUGAUCGAAAGAUGAAAAGCACUUUGAAAAGAGAGUUAAAAAGUACGUGAAAUUGUUGAAAGGGAAGCGUUUAUGACCAGACUUGGACUUGGUUAAUCAUCUGGGGUUCUCCCCAGUGCACUUUUCCAGUUCAGGCCAGCAUCAGUUUUCGCCGGGGGAUAAAGGCAGCGGGAAUGUGGCUCUCUUCGGGGAGUGUUAUAGCCCGUUGUGUAAUACCCUGGUGGGGACUGAGGUUCGCGCUUCUGCAAGGAUGCUGGCGUAAUGGUCAUCAACGACCC